UUAUUUUUGCAUCGUAUUGGUUCUUUUGAAGAAGAUUCAAAGAAGGAAUGCCGUGAAAAUCGGCAACAGUUCCCGCUGCUGUAAGCUCAUAAAGGGGUUCUAACAAUAGGUCACUGUUUCUAUAAAAGGAAUGGGAAGGCGUUAGAAACCUGAGUAAGUCAGAAAACUUGCCAAUAUUGUGUGGAUUUU
rnacentral:ncRNA from 2 species